rnacentral:rRNA from 1 species
UACGUAGGGUGCAAGCGUUAGUCGGAAUUACUGGGCGUAAAGCGUGCGCAGGCGGUUUCGCAAGUCAGAUGUGAAAUCCCCGGGCUCAACCUGGGAACUGCAUUUGAAACUACGAGGCUAGAGUGUGUCAGAGGGGGGUAGAAUUCCACGUGUAGCAGUGAAAUGCGUAGAGAUGUGGAGGAACACCGAUGGCGAAGGCAAUCCCCUGGGCCUGUACUGACGCUCAUGCACGAAAGCGUGGGGAGCAAACGGG